rnacentral:rRNA from 1 species
CCUACGGGUGGCAGCAGUGAGGAAUAUUGGUCAAUGGGCGAGAGCCUGAACCAGCCAAGUCGCGUGAAGGAUGACGGCCCUACGGGUUGUAAACUUCUUUUGCCAGGGAGCAAUUGAGGCCACGUGUGGGCUUAGCGAGAGUACCUGAAGAAAAAGCAUCGGCUAACUCCGUGCCAGCAGCCGCGGUAAUACGGGGGAUGCGAGCGUUAUACGGGUUUAUCGGGUUAAAAGGGUGCGUAGGCGGAAUAUCAAGUCAGCGGUAAAAAUUCGGGGCUCAACCCCGUCCUGCCGUUGAAACUGAUGAUCUUGAGUGGGCGAGAAGUAUGCGGAAUGCGUGGUGUAGCGGUGAAAUGCAUAGAUAUCACGCAGAACUCCGAUGGCGAAGGCAGCAUACCGGCGCGCAACUGACGCUGAGGCACGAAAGCGUGGGUAUCGAACAGGAUUAGAUACCCCGGUAGUC